rnacentral:rRNA from 1 species
CACGUAGGGCGCAAGCGUUGUCCGGAAUUAUUGGGCGUAAAGAGCUCGUAGGUGGUUUGUUACGUCUGCUGUGAAAACCUAGGGCUUAACCCUGGGCUUGCAGUGGAUACGGGCAGACUAGAGUGCGGUAGGGGAGAUUGGAACUCCUGGUGUAGCGGUGGAAUGCGUAGAGAUCUGGAGGAAUACCGGUGGCGAAGGCGGCCCCCUGGACAAAGACUGACGCUCAGGUGCGAAAGCGUGGGGAGCAAACAGG